UUACCGGCUUGACAUGAAAGAGAUUCCUUCGGGCACAGGUGGUGCAUGGUUGUCGUCAGCUCGUGUCGUGAGAUGUUGGGUUAAGUCCCGCAACGAGCGCAACCCUAUGUUAGUUGCCAGCAUAUGGGACUCUAGCAGACUGCCGGUGAUAACCGGAGGAAGGUGGGGACGACGUCAAAUCAUCAUGCCCUUAUGCCGGGCUACAAACGUGCUACAAUGGAUUACAAGGGGCAUCGCAAGGGGAGCAAACCCAAAAGUGUCUCAGUUCGGAUUGGGGGCUGCAACCCGCCCCUAUGAAGUUGGAGUUGCUAGUAAUCGCGAUCAGCAUGCGCGGUGAAUGCGUUCCCGGGGAUUGUACACACCGCCCGUCACACCAUGGAAGUUAGGGACCGAA
rnacentral:rRNA from 1 species